rnacentral:misc_RNA from 1 species
GAUGAAGAACGUAGCGAAAUGCGAUAAGUAGUGUGAAUUGCAGAAUUCAGUGAAUCAUCGAAUCUUUGAACGCACAUUGCGCCCCUUGGUAUUCCAUGGGGCAUGCCUGUUCGAGCGUCAUUUGUACCUUCAAGCUCUGCUUGGUGUUGGGUGUUUGUCUCGCCUCUGCGUGUAGACUCGCCUCAAAACAAUUGGCAGCCGGCGUAUUGAUUUCGGAGCGCAGUACAUCUCGCGCUUUGCACUCAUAACGACGACGUCCAAAAGUACUUUUUUACACUCUUGACCUCGGAUCAGGUAGGGAUACCCGCUGAACUUAAGCAUAUCAAUAAGCGGAGGA